rfam:Cajanus cajan CcLG08_165, whole genome shotgun sequence.
GAGACUCAUGUGAUGAUCAGAAGCAUAGUUCACAUGAUUUAUCUGUGAUUAUUCUUUAUUUUAGUCUUUCGCUCCUAUCUGAUGAUCUCU